CUGAUCUGGCAAGGUUUCUAAUGCCAACCACUCCAAGAAUGUAGUGGGUGCUUUUUACGAGCCACUGGCUUGAGGGCCAAUCGGGUGGCACUGGCAUCGAUCAUGGUCGAAUGGUGCUUUUUACAUGCCACAAUAAUAUUUUUAUUGUGUUGUUUUAUGGGGGUUUUUUUUGUAUCUCUGUUCUUCUGCAACAGCUUUUGUUUAUCAUUUUUGAAAUUUGCUAAAACUUUAUCUCUUUUCAGGUGUAUGAUGAUAGAGUGUCAAGUAGAAAAAGAUAAGCAUUUUUGAUAUUUGCUUCUCUUUGUUUUUCUAACAGGGUUCCAAAACUGUCAAAGCCACUUGACAUGGAGAAGAUGCUAUUAUUGAAAGAAGCACACAGAUAUGGUUUCCACACUUCAAGAAGGGGAAAUUCGACCUCAAAGACACUCCAACUUCCAGCCAGCUCAUGCAUUUCAAUCAGUAUCAAUUGAAUGGGCUCAUCCAUGCCAAUCUACUAGAAAAUGAUACCACUACCUGUCACCUUCACAAAUUUGGUGCAGGGCAGCCACAUACUCUGAAUGAAAGAGACAAAUGCUAACACACAUCUAUCAUUACAAUUUGCUCUUCCAACACCAAGCUGCUUGCGGAUACAGCGAUUUUUUUACUGCAUCAUCACCAGUGAUGAAAAGUGGUAUCUUUAUAGUAAUAUGCAGCAGAAGAAAGAAUGGUUGUUCACGGCUACUGCUAACCAGAGAUGGAAUGUUUAUUCAGACAAAAUAAAUUAUUAUUGCUAUUUGUUCAGAGAGAUCUUAUCCUCGUCUUUUCCUUCCAUGAACUAUGUAUGGAUUUGUGAAGCACCCAGCAAGUGCUAAUCACAUAUUUUCCUACAGGUGUGAUCUGAUAGAGAUAUGGCAGCUAUAUUUUGUAGCUGUAACUCCAUUUCAACCUUGAUCAUAGGUAUAGAAAUGGCAUUCAUUGGAAGAGAAAAGGCGUUUUGUGUAUUGGAGUAUGCUCAAACACAGUCGAUGUGCAGUGUACAUUUGUGAGAAAGUUCUCUAUAAAAUCACCAACGGCAAUGCAGAUUUGGACAUGGCACAAAAAAUUCAAAGAGGAAGGCUAUCUGUGCAGGGCAAAAGGAUUUGGACAACUAGUAACAUCGGAAGAGACGGUCGAGCGGGUUCGCCAAAAACUCUUGCGAAGCCCUAAGAAUUCCAUAAGAAGAACACGUCUGGAAACCCAGAUUCCUCCAACGGCAGUUUGGCGCGUCCUGAGGAAACACUUGCUAAUGAAACCUUACAAGCUGCACUUCGUUCAGGCCAUAAUGGCAGAUGACAAGCGAAUGCGCAAACAUGGAGCUAUGUGAAGGGUCAGGUCUAUGUCCCCACCUCUUCCUGCAACCUAGAGGAACUCGAGCAGAGAAUCACUACCGCAUUGGAGACUGUUACUCAAGACAUGCUGCAGCGUGUUUGAAAGGAGCUGGACUACCGACUCGACGUGUGCCAUGUCUCAGGCAGUGCGCAUAUUGAACAUUUGUGAAAU
rnacentral:misc_RNA from 1 species